rnacentral:rRNA from 1 species
AGGACGAACGCUGGCGGCGCGCCUAACACAUGCAAGUCGAGGGAGAAGCACCCUUCGGGGUGUGGAGACCGGCGAACGGGUGAGUAACACGUGAGGAAUCUGCCCUGUAGACCGGAAUAACCACGGGAAACUGUGGCUAAUGCCGGAUAUUCUCGCCGCUCCGCAUGGAGCAACGAGGAAAUGGUCAGCCGCUACAGGAUGACCUCGCGGCCUAUCAGCUUGUUGGCGGGGUAACGGCCCACCAAGGCAACGACGGGUAGCUGGCGUGAGAGCGCGAACAGCCACACUGGGACUGAGACACGGCCCAGACUCCUACGGGAGGCAGCAGGUGGGGGAAUCUUGC